UACGUAGGGGGCAAGCGUUGUCCGGAUUUAUUGGGCGUAAAGAGCGUGUAGGCGGCUGGGUAGGUCCGCUGUGAAAACUUGAGGCUCAACCUCAAGAGGUCGGUGGAAACCAUCCAGCUAGAGUCCGGAAGAGGAGAAUGGAAUUCCUGGUGUAGCGGUGAAAUGCGCAGAUAUCAGGAAGAACACCCGUGGCGAAGGCGGUUCUCUGGGACGGUACUGACGCUGAGACGCGAAAGCGUGGGGAGCGAACAGG
rnacentral:rRNA from 1 species